GGUUAAGCGACUAAGCGUACACGGUGGAUGCCCUGGCAGUCAGAGGCGAUGAAGGACGUGCUAAUCUGCGAUAAGCGUCGGUAAGGUGAUAUGAACCGUUAUAACCGGCGAUUUCCGAAUGGGGAAACCCAGUGUGUUUCGACACACUAUCAUUAACUGAAUCCAUAGGUUAAUGAGGCGAACCGGGGGAACUGAAACAUCUAAGUACCCCGAGGAAAAGAAAUCAACCGAGAUUCCCCCAGUAGCGGCGAGCGAACGGGGAGCAGCCCAGAGCCUGAAUCAGUGUGUGUGUUAGUGGAAGCGUCUGGAAAGGCGCGCGAUACAGGGUGACAGCCCCGUACACAAAAAUGCACAUGCUGUGAGCUCGAUGAGUAGGGCGGGACACGUGGUAUCCUGUCUGAAUAUGGGGGGACCAUCCUCCAAGGCUAAAUACUCCUGACUGACCGAUAGUGAACCAGUACCGUGAGGGAAAGGCGAAAAGAACCCCGGCGAGGGGAGUGAAAAAGAACCUGAAACCGUGUACGUACAAGCAGUGGGAGCCUCUUUUAUGGGGUGACUGCGUACCUUUUGUAUAAUGGGUCAGCGACUUAUAUUCUGUAGCAAGGUUAACCGAAUAGGGGAGCCGAAGGGAAACCGAGUCUUAACUGGGCGUUAAGUUGCAGGGUAUAGACCCGAAACCCGGUGAUCUAGCCAUGGGCAGGUUGAAGGUUGGGUAACACUAACUGGAGGACCGAACCGACUAAUGUUGAAAAAUUAGCGGAUGACUUGUGGCUGGGGGUGAAAGGCCAAUCAAACCGGGAGAUAGCUGGUUCUCCCCGAAAGCUAUUUAGGUAGCGCCUCGUGAAUUCAUCUCCGGGGGUAGAGCACUGUUUCGGCAAGGGGGUCAUCCCGACUUACCAACCCGAUGCAAACUGCGAAUACCGGAGAAUGUUAUCACGGGAGACACACGGCGGGUGCUAACGUCCGUCGUGAAGAGGGAAACAACCCAGACCGCCAGCUAAGGUCCCAAAGUCAUGGUUAAGUGGGAAACGAUGUGGGAAGGCCCAGACAGCCAGGAUGUUGGCUUAGAAGCAGCCAUCAUUUAAAGAAAGCGUAAUAGCUCACUGGUCGAGUCGGCCUGCGCGGAAGAUGUAACGGGGCUAAACCAUGCACCGAAGCUGCGGCAGCGACGCUUAUGCGUUGUUGGGUAGGGGAGCGUUCUGUAAGCCUGUGAAGGUGUGCUGUGAGGCAUGCUGGAGGUAUCAGAAGUGCGAAUGCUGACAUAAGUAACGAUAAAGCGGGUGAAAAGCCCGCUCGCCGGAAGACCAAGGGUUCCUGUCCAACGUUAAUCGGGGCAGGGUGAGUCGACCCCUAAGGCGAGGCCGAAAGGCGUAGUCGAUGGGAAACAGGUUAAUAUUCCUGUACUUGGUGUUACUGCGAAGGGGGACGGAGAAGGCUAUGUUGGCCGGGCGACGGUUGUCCCGGUUUAAGCGUGUAGGCUGGUUUUCCAGGCAAAUCCGGAAAAUCAAGGCUGAGGCGUGAUGACGAGGCACUACGGUGCUGAAGCAACAAAUGCCCUGCUUCCAGGAAAAGCCUCUAAGCAUCAGGUAACAUCAAAUCGUACCCCAAACCGACACAGGUGGUCAGGUAGAGAAUACCAAGGCGCUUGAGAGAACUCGGGUGAAGGAACUAGGCAAAAUGGUGCCGUAACUUCGGGAGAAGGCACGCUGAUAUGUAGGUGAAGCGACUUGCUCGUGGAGCUGAAAUCAGUCGAAGAUACCAGCUGGCUGCAACUGUUUAUUAAAAACACAGCACUGUGCAAACACGAAAGUGGACGUAUACGGUGUGACGCCUGCCCGGUGCCGGAAGGUUAAUUGAUGGGGUUAGCGCAAGCGAAGCUCUUGAUCGAAGCCCCGGUAAACGGCGGCCGUAACUAUAACGGUCCUAAGGUAGCGAAAUUCCUUGUCGGGUAAGUUCCGACCUGCACGAAUGGCGUAAUGAUGGCCAGGCUGUCUCCACCCGAGACUCAGUGAAAUUGAACUCGCUGUGAAGAUGCAGUGUACCCGCGGCAAGACGGAAAGACCCCGUGAACCUUUACUAUAGCUUGACACUGAACAUUGAGCCUUGAUGUGUAGGAUAGGUGGGAGGCUUAGAAGUGUGGACGCCAGUCUGCAUGGAGCCGACCUUGAAAUACCACCCUUUAAUGUUUGAUGUUCUAACGUUGACCCGUAAUCCGGGUUGCGGACAGUGUCUGGUGGGUAGUUUGACUGGGGCGGUCUCCUCCUAAAGAGUAACGGAGGAGCACGAAGGUUGGCUAAUCCUGGUCGGACAUCAGGAGGUUAGUGCAAUGGCAUAAGCCAGCUUGACUGCGAGCGUGACGGCGCGAGCAGGUGCGAAAGCAGGUCAUAGUGAUCCGGUGGUUCUGAAUGGAAGGGCCAUCGCUCAACGGAUAAAAGGUACUCCGGGGAUAACAGGCUGAUACCGCCCAAGAGUUCAUAUCGACGGCGGUGUUUGGCACCUCGAUGUCGGCUCAUCACAUCCUGGGGCUGAAGUAGGUCCCAAGGGUAUGGCUGUUCGCCAUUUAAAGUGGUACGCGAGCUGGGUUUAGAACGUCGUGAGACAGUUCGGUCCCUAUCUGCCGUGGGCGCUGGAGAACUGAGGGGGGCUGCUCCUAGUACGAGAGGACCGGAGUGGACGCAUCACUGGUGUUCGGGUUGUCAUGCCAAUGGCACUGCCCGGUAGCUAAAUGCGGAAGAGAUAAGUGCUGAAAGCAUCUAAGCACGAAACUUGCCCCGAGAUGAGUUCUCCCUGACCCUUUAAGGGUCCUGAAGGAACGUUGAAGACGACGACGUUGAUAGGCCGGGUGUGUAAGCGCAGCGAUGCGUUGAGCUAACCGGUACUAAUGAACCGUGAGGCUUAACCUU
rnacentral:rRNA from 1 species